rnacentral:rRNA from 1 species
GACGAACGCUGGCGGCGUGCUUAACACAUGCAAGUCGAACGGAAAGGCCUGCUUUCCCUUGUGGAUUGCGGGUACUCGCGUGGCGAACGGGUGAGUAACACGUGAGUGAUCUGCCCCCAACUUGGGUAUAAGCCUGGGAAACUGGGUCUAAUUCCCGAUAGGACUGCAGGGUGGUGCCUGUGGUUGAAAACGAUUUUCUAGUGGUUGGGGAUGAGCUCGCGGCCUAUCAGCUUGUUGGUGGGGUAAUGGCCUACCAAGGCGGCGACGGGUAGCCGGCCUGAGAGGGUGGACGGCGAAAGUGGGACUGAGAUACGGCCCAGACUCCUACGGGAGGAAGCAGUGGGGAAUAUUGCACAAGGGGCGGAAGCCUGAGGCAGCGACGCCGCGUGGGGGAUGACGGCCUUCGGGUUGUAAACUCCUUUCGACCGCGAGGAAGCCACCUGGUUGGAAGGGUGGUGACGGUAGUGGUAGAAGAAGCACCGGCUAACUACGUG